GAAUUUUGGACAAUGGGCGAAAGCCUGAUCCAGCAAUGCCGCGUGCAGGAUGAAGGCCUUCGGGUUGUAAACUGCUUUUGUACGGAACGAAAAGUCUCGGGAUAAUAACCCGGAGUCAUGACGGUACCGUACGCAUAAGCACCCGCUACCUACGUGCCAGCAGCCGCGGUAAUACGCAGGGUGCAAGCGUUAAUCGGAAUUACUGGGCGUAAAGCGUGCGCAGGCGGUUUUGUAAGACAGAGGUGAAAUCCCCGGGCUCAACCUGGGAACUGCCUUUGUGACUGCAAGGCUAGAGUACGGCAGAGGGGGGUGGAAUUCCGCGUGUAGCAGUGAAAUGCGUAGAUAUGCGGAGGAACACCGAUGGCGAAGGCAACCCCCUGGGCCUGUACUGACGCUCAUGCACGAAAGCGUGGGGAGCAAACAG
rnacentral:rRNA from 1 species